AGUAACACGUGAUUAACCUACCUUCGAGUGGGGAAUAACUUCGGGAAACCGAAGCUAAUACCGCAUAACAUCCCAAGGACGAGAAGCCCAGGGAUCAAAGGAGCAAUUCGCUUGAAGAGGGGGUCGCGGCUGAUUAGCUAGUUGGCGGGGUAAUGGCCCACCAAGGCAUCGAUCAGUAGCUGGUCUGAGAGGAUGAUCAGCCACACUGGGAUUGAGAACGGCCCAG
rnacentral:rRNA from 1 species